UUACUACUCCCUCCAUUCCGAAUUACUUGUUUUGGAUUUGUCUAGAUACAUCCGUAUCUAGAUUCAUUUUAGUGCUAGAUACAUCCGUAUCUAGACAAAUCUAAGACAAGUAAUUCAGAACGGAGGGAGUACCUU
rnacentral:pre_miRNA from 1 species